AGAGUUUGAUCCUGGCUCAGAGCGAACGCUGGCGGCGUACUUAACACAUGCAAGUCGAACGGGGAUCGUCGGGUUAGCAAUAAUUCGGCGGUCCUAGUGGCGCACGGGUGAGUAACACGUGGGUAACCUGCCCUUGAGUUCGGGAUACCCCCUCGAAAGGGGGGCUAAUACCGGAUACGUUCCUCGGAUCGACAGGUCUGGGGAGGAAAGGUGGCGCAAGCUGCCGCUCUUGGAGGGGCUCGCGGCCUAUCAGCUAGUUGGCGGGGUAACGGCCCACCAAGGCUAUGACGGGUAGCUGGUCUGAGAGGACGACCAGUCACACGGGGACUGAGACACGGCCCCGACUCCUACGGGAGGCAGCAGUGGGGAAUUUUCCGCAAUGGGCGAAAGCCUGACGGAGUGACGCCGCGUGUGGGACGAAGGCCUUCGGGUCGUAAACCACUGUCAGUGGGAAAGAAGGGUGUCGGCGUUAAUACCGCCGGCAUUUGACGGUACCUGCAGAGGAAGCCCCGGCCAACUCUGUGCCAGCAGCCGCGGUAAA
rnacentral:rRNA from 1 species